AAAUGAAGGAAAAUCUUACAAUGGACUAUUUCAUUUUUUAUAAUAAGCAUGUUUGCACAGGUUAUUGCCUGGGAAUUUUCUGAAGUCAAUAAAUUAACUACUAAUAUCCAAUUAAGAGACUUUAGGUAUACAGUAUUCACUUUUUACACCCUUUUCCAUUCAGGAGAAUGGUUAUUCAUGCUACCACCAGUAGCAUGGAAGUUGGUGGAGGUAUUAAUGGAACUAAAUAAUUCCAUUUGUUCACGGAUAUAAGCACAAAGCAGCCAAGAUAUAUUUUCAGAAAGUCUUGAGGAAGGAGUGGGGAACAGGACAUGUUCAAGGAAACACUACACAUUAUCUACAAAGUCAUUAUAAUUAAUCUAUUCAAAUUAUAGUUAACUUUAACCAAGUAAAAAAAAAUAACUGGUGAAUGAUGACAAAGCAUUUGGAAGCAAAAUAUAUAAAUAAUUAAUUGUUCAGACAUGAAAGAUGCUCAAUAAAGUAAUGUCUAUUACCUAAUACAUAAUUAUGUAUGAACAAACUUAUCUCUGGUAAAAGCAACAUAAACAUUACAUUAGCUGAAGACAGUGCUAGUGAAAGCAGAUGAGUAAGAGUCUAGUCAUGGUUACUUCAUCACAUGAACCAGACUCUUACCUACCAGCUCUCAACAGCAGGAAUGGAAGCUUUCAUUCAUUUACAAAACUCUCUUAACAAUAAAAUAAUGGUGAAUAUAACAUUCAUAUUGGGAAAAUAAUAAAAAAAAAAAUCAAAAUGAGUGGUAUCCUAUACUGAGCAGUAUAAAAUUAUGAACUGUUCAGCAUGAUUGGAAGAAAGGUAAUGGUACCUCAAAAAAUAAAAAAUUAUUUGCUUGUUAGUCCUGUUUCUCUUUCAGGUCUUGUUAUUUUAUCACACAGCUGAAAAAACAUUAAUGGAAAGUGAGUAGCAAAUCUGCCACAGUAUUUAUUCUCCUUGUUACUGUACAUUUCAGAAAGGAAGCAUUAAAUUUGUUGUGUGUUACACAGUGAAAGUGAAAAGGAAACAGGAAUAAAGCAGUUUCAAUCCAAGGAAGUGUAGUUCCAAUUCUUUGGAUCAAGAGCCCUUCACUGGCAUCAAGAGACUUCCCAUGAGGGUCAAUUUAAGACUUAAAGGUUUGAAUGCAUUUUCCUCAGUUACUAAUAUCUGUGAAUGAUGAAGAAGCCCUACAACUUUUCUCUUGAUAAUCUCCAUAUAGAUUUUUUAGUUUUGUAUUUUUUAUUUUGGGUUAUACCUUUCAGUCUUCAUCUAACAACUUGCAUACUGUACUUUUUUUUUUUUUUAACACAUCAGCCAUUCCCCACCGAAGCAGGGCGACCCAAAAAGAAAGAAAAAACUUUCAUCAUCAUUCAUCACUGUCACCAUCACUUGAACAUAAUUACUAUCUUUGCAGAGGCGCUCAGAUAUGAUAGUUUAGAUGUCCCUCCAAACCCCUCCUUUAAAGUGCGGGCAUUGUAUUUCCCAUUUCCAGGACUCAAGUCCAGCUAACUUGUUUCCCUGAAUCCCUUCACAAAAUAUUACCCUGCUCACACUCCAACAGCUUGUCAGGUCCCAAAAACCAUUCGUCUCCAUUCAAUCCUAUCUAACACACUCACACACGCUUGCUGAAAGUCCAAGCCCCUCGCCCAUAAAACCUUCUUUACCCCCUCCCUCCAACCUUUUUGAGGCUGAACACUACAAAUUUUCUGCAUAAUAUUUACACCACACAUUGCCCUUAGACAUGACAUCACUGCCUCCAGCCUCCUCCUCACUGAAGCAUUUACAACCCAUGCUUCACAUCCAUAUCAGUGUUGGUAGCACUAUACUCUUGUACAUUCCCUUCUUUGCCUCCAUGGAUAACGUUUUUUGUCUCCACAGAUACCUCAACGCACCACUCUCCUUUUUUCCUUCAUCAAUUCUAUGGUUAACCUCAUCCUUCAUAAACCCAUCCACUGGCAGGUCAACUCCCAAAUACAUGAAAACAUUCACUUCUUCCAUACCCCCUCCCUCCAAUGUGAUAUCCAAUUUUUCUUUAUCUAAAUCGUUGGAUACCCUCAUCACCUUACUCUUAUCUAUUUUCACUUUCAAUUUUCUACCUUUACACACUCUCCCAAGCUUGUCCAGCAACCUUGCAACUUUUCUUUAGAAUCUCCCAAAAGCACAGUAUCAUCAGCAAAAAGUAACUGUGCCAACUCCCAGUUUGUAUUUGUUCCCAUAAUUUAAUCCCACCACUCUCCCCAACACCCUAGCAUUUACUACUUUUAUAACCCUAUCUAUAAAUUUGUUACACAACCAUGGUGACAUUAAACAUCCCUGUCUAAGAUGUACUUUUACUGGGAUGUAACCUUCCUCUCUCCUACACAUCCUAACCUGAGCCUCACUAUCCUCAUAAAAACUAUCUAUUCCAUACACUUACAACAUCUGUUACAUUGCUCCCCUAUCCACUCUACCAUACGCCUUUUCUAAAUCCAUAAAAGCAAAGAAAACUUCCCUACCUUUAUGGAAAUACUGUUCACAUACAUGCUUCAAUAUAAACACUUAAUCUAAACAUCCUUUACCCACUCUAAAGCCUCCUUGUUCAUCUGCAAUCCUGCUUUCUGUCUUACCUCUAAUUCUUUCAACAAUAACAAUAAUUAUUAUUGUACUUUUAUCAUUUAUUAUUAAUGGAAAGUGCAUGCAUGUUCAAAAGUACAACCUAUGCAUCUAUUAAUUACUGUGUAAACAUUUCCAUAUUCAAACAUACAAACCUAAACAACUUGUGCUUAUUAAGUAUCCAUCUAUGUAUGUUACAGACAUACCUAUAACUAAUUUCAAGUUAUCUGACUCCUGAAGCCCAGCCUGAGUCCAGAUUUCAAGGCUGAUUACCUGGUCAAUCAAGUUGUUUCUAAGUGUCCUGCAGAUCUACAUAGCCAUCACAACCUAGCUGAUCAGGCACUUGUAGACAGCCUGUACUGUCUGCACAGACAGCCCAUGCUGUCUGCCAGCUCAGUUCAUAUUUCAUGCCACUAAAGUGCUGCCCUAUGGGCCUGCUUCAGGUCUGUGGGAAGCUGGUCCCACACACUCUCACUCACACAGAGGCCUAGCAGGAAGACACAAGGCCUACUACUAGCUCUCUCGUGGGAUGGCCCUCCCGGACCAUGGGCACAACACACAAGCCUGUGUACCCACCACGACUUAACAAUAAAGUAAGAAGCCUC